UAUCCUUAGUAGUACUAUUUGCACACAGGCUUUUACUCCUCUGGAUGUUGCUCAAAACAAGAUCUGGCUGGGCAUAAUCCAGAGGAGGGGAUCAAAGCUGGUGAUCACUGUGUGUCACUCACAGCUAAACUGUUCUGUUCUUGUUGGUUUCUAUUUUUGAGUGAGGACUUCCUUUUUCCUCUCCUUUUUUUAAGGACAGCCACUCCAGCCUGUUCUGAAAGAGAAUGCAGAUUUCUCAUGCAGUCUAAGUACUUUGUACAGCUUUGUACAGUGAUGUAAAAACUACUUGGCCCAUUCUUUUGUGUCUCUGACUCCAGAGUCUUGCAUCUAUUCCUUCUGCUUUAGAUCUAAUCUAGGACACUGUUUCUGGAUUUCCCUCAAGAUUCCAGUAGCAUUCUCAGAUUCAUGCCAUGAUUUACCAGCCUCUGAGAGCAAGGCAGGCCUCUUUUAUUCUCAUGGCUUUCAGAAACUUGAAAUAUAUCUAUAUAUGUAUUUUUUUUUAAUUCCUGUCCCCUCCCAGCUGUGUGCACCUGCUUUCUAAUUGCAGCAUCUGCCAACUACAUUACUUUCUAGAGAUUUCACUGCCCAGGUUGCCACCAACCAGCUGCUCUAAUGAAGAAUCCAGAUGUCUGAAGCACUGCCUGGAAGGUCUUAAGUAAAAUGGAGAAUAGUCCCAAGUGGAAAUACUUUAACCUUAUAAAUAUCUCUGGCUGCAAACAUUGUUCUUAAUACUGAAGAUUCUGUGAUGUCAUUGCUCUUACCUGUCAUUUCUAGGCAUUUGUCUUCAUUAUUUGGGAUUCUCUACUGUGUAAGAUCCUGUUCUGCCAUAAAAGCAGGGAAUAGGCAGUAGCUGUAGAGAGAAUGACCUGAUGUAUCAAAGACAAUGACAUUUCACUGUUGGUGGCUUCAGUGUUUCAGUUUAUUUUGUAACUGUGUUAGAUUUUGAGGCAGGGCUUGUUUCUUUCAUUUCCCAUUCUUCUUCAGAAGGACACCAAAAGGCAGAGCUUCUUAUGUUUUCCACUUCUUUUCUCAUUUUAAGUGAUGAGGCAACAAAUAGGAUUUUUAAAGAUGUUGGAUCAUCUGUCUGGAAAAAAAUAUAUAUUGGGAACUGAAUAAAAACCCCACACCACAAAGAUAUAAAUUUUAGGAUAUAAUUGUUUGCAUCCAGCUAGUAACAUGGUAAAGAGUUAGGGCAUCUAUUGAUUACUUGAGAUUUUCCUCACAUGUCUUAGUUUGCUUAUUAAGUUGGGGGAAAAUAUUCUCUUCUUAAAAGAUAAUCACCUCUGAGCUUCCAGAUUUCAUCAGGCUGCUUCAACCUGAACUU